rnacentral:rRNA from 1 species
AGCGAACGCUGGCGGCAGGCCUAACACAUGCAAGUCGAGCGGCCGUAGCAAUACGGCAGCGGCAGACGGGAGAGUAACACGUGGGAACGCGCCCUUCGGUUCGGGAUAACCCAGGGAAACUUGGGCUAAUACCGGAUACGCCCUUACGGGGAAAGAUUUAUUGCCGAAGGAACGGCCCGCGUCCGAUUAGCUAGUUGGUGAGGUAAUGGCUCACCAAGGCGACGAUCGGUAGCUGGUCUGAGAGGAUGACCAGCCUCACUGGGACUGCGACACGGCCCAGACUCCUACGGGAGGCAGCAGUGGGGAAUAUUGGACAAUGGGCGCAAGCCUGAUCCAGCCAUGCCGCGUGUGUGAUGAAGGCCUUAGGGUUGUAAAGCACUUUCGCCGGUGAAGAUAAUGACGGUAACCGGAGAAGAAGCCCCGGCUAACUUCGUGCCAGCAGCCGCCGUAACAC